CGCGGCCUAUCAGCUUGUUGGUGAGGUAACGGCUCACCAAGGCUUCGACGGGUAGCUGGUCUGAGAGGACGAUCAGCCACACUGGGACUGAGACACGGCCCAGACUCCUACGGGAGGCAGCAGUGGGGAAUCUUGCACAAUAGGCGAAAGCCUGAUGCAGCAACGCCGCGUGAGGGACGAAGGCUUUCUGAGUUGUAAACCUCUUUCAGCAGGGACGAUUGUGACGGUACCUGCAGAAGAAGCCCCGGCCAACUACGUGCCAGCAGCCGCGGUAAUACGUAGGGGGCAAGCGUUGUCCGGAUUUAUUGGGCGUAAAGAGCUCGUAGGCGGCUUGGCAAGUCGGAUGUGAAACCUCCAGGCUCAACCUGGAGUCGCCAUUCGAUACUGCCAUGGCUAGAGUUUGGUAGGGGACCACGGAAUUCCUGGUGUAGCGGUGAAAUGCGCAGAUAUCAGGAGGAACACCAGCGGCGAAGGCGGUGGUCUGGGCCAAUACUGACGCUGAGGAGCGAAAGCGUGGGGAGCGAACAGGAUUAGAUACCCUGGUAGUCCACGCCGUAAACGUUGGGCACUAGGUGUGGGGACCUAUCGACGGUUUCUGCGCCGCAGCUAACGCAUUAAGUGCCCCGCCUGGGGAGUA
rnacentral:rRNA from 1 species